rnacentral:rRNA from 1 species
AGAGUUUGAUCCUGGCUCAGGAUGAACGCUAGCGGCAGGCCUAACACAUGCAAGUCGAGGGGCAGCACGGGUAGCAAUAUCUGGUGGCGACCGGCGCACGGGUGAGUAACGCGUAUGCAACCUACCUUUAACUGGGAGAUAGCCCGGGGAAACUCGGAUUAAUACCCCAUAACAUUAUGAAAUCACAUGGUUUUAUAAUUAAAGCUCCGGCGGUUAAAGAUGGGCAUGCGUGCCAUUAGCUAGUUGGUGAGGUAACGGCUCACCAAGGCUACGAUGGUUAGGGGGCCUGAGAGGGUAGUCCCCCACACUGGUACUGAGACACGGACCAGACUCCUACGGGAGGCAGCAGUGAGGAAUAUUGGGCAAUGGACGCAAGUCUGACCCAGCCAUGCCGCGUGCAGGAUGAAGGCCCUAUGGGUUGUAAACUGCUUUUUUACGGGACGAAACUCCUGAUUGUGAUCGGGAUUGACGGUACCGUAUGAAUAAGCAUCGGCUAACUCCGUGCCAGCAGCCGCGGUAAUACGGAGGAUGCAAGCGUUAUCCGGAUUCAUUGGGUUUAAAGGGUGCGUAGGCGGAAUAAUAAGUCAGUGGUGAAAUCUUGCGGCUUAACCGUAAAAUUGCCUUUGAUACUGUUAUUCUUGAGUACAGUUGAGGUAGGCGGAAUGUGUAAUGUAGCGGUGAAAUGCUUAGAUAUUACACAGAACACCGAUUGCGUAGGCAGCUUACUAAACUGAAACUGACGCUGAGGCACGAAAGCGUGGGGAUCAAACAGGAUUAGAUACCCUGGUAGUCCACGCUGUAAACGAUGAUCACUCGCUGUUGGCAAUACAUCGUCAGCGGCUAAGUAAAAGCAUUAAGUGAUCCACCUGGGGAGUACGUCGGCAACGAUGAAACUCAAAGGAAUUGACGG